UUAUUUGAGAGUUUGAUCCUGGCUCAGGAUGAACGCUGGCGGUGUGUCUAAGGCAUGCAAGUCGAGGGACCGGCUUACCUUCGGGUGAGAUACGGACCGGCAAACGGGAGAGUAACACAUUGGUAACCUACCUCUGAGUCGGGGAUAGCCCAUCGAAAGGUGGAUUAAUACCCGAUAGUCAUAAGAAAACUUAAGUUUUUUUAUGUAAACUUUUUGGCUCAGAGAGGGGCCUAUGUCUGAUUAGCUAGUUGGUGAGGUAAUGGCUCACCAAGGUUACGAUCAGUACCGGGCGUGAGAGCGUGACCCGGCUCACUGGGACUGAGAACGGCCCAGACUCCUACGGGAGGCUGCAGUCAAGAAUAUUCCAC
rnacentral:rRNA from 1 species